CGAAGGGGGCUAGCGUUGUUCGGAAUCGACUGGGCGUAAAGGGCGCGUAGGCGGCCGUUCAAGUCGGGGGUGAAAGCCUGUGGCUCAACCACAGAAUGGCCUUCGAUACUGGACGGCUCGAGACCGGAAGAGGUCAGUGGAACUGCGAGUGUAGAGGUGAAAUUCGUAGAUAUUCGCAAGAACACCAGUGGCGAAGGCGGCUGACUGGUCCGGUUCUGACGCUGAGGCGCGAAAGCGUGGGGAGCAAACAGGAUUAGAUACCCUGGUAGUCCACGCCGUAAACGAUGGAUGCUAGCCGUUGGCGCGCUUGCGCGUCAGUGGCGCCGCUAACGCUUUAAGCAUCCCGCCUGGGGAGUACGGUCGCAAGAUUA
rnacentral:rRNA from 1 species